CAACCUUAUCCUCCUCCCAGAGUAACACCUUUCACACAUCCCUUUUCCCUUUCUCCGCGUCGGCGCGUCCAAAUCCUCCCGCUCCUCCUCCCCUUGAACUCCUCGCCGGAGCAACGGAUCCACCGGCUCUGACGCCGACAAACGCGGGUCAGCUAGAUCCAGCGCCACCUGCUCCAUACUCCCCCGAAUAUUCCACUUACGAGCCCUGCCGCCACGUCUGGAGGUCAUGUUCCCCACUUCGGUGCUGCCGCCGUACUUGCGGCUCUCCCCCUCUUCCUGCUGCUCCAGCUCUAGCCCUCCCUCCGCAACAUCCUCUCCUUUGCCCUACUCGCCGGAGCAAUGGGGAUACCAGACUGCCGGCGAUGAGUCCGGGGCAGCCAGAUCCAGCGCCACCUCACCCAUGGCAGUUGCUCCGGCGCGACGAUGGCCAGGGGCCGCGCUGCCCUCCUCAGGUUAAUACAGAAGUUAGGUGAAGAAGGACCCGGGCAAGACUUACAGGCAAGCUACCUCUCCAUGAAGAUUGGAGGCAUGUUCCAAGAAGUCAUUGCAAUGUUUGUUCCAGUACUGAACCAAUCUAGCUCGGCUCCAUUUCAAGCCAUCAUAGGCACCACCUCAGACAUUCUACUCGCUGCAAAGCCAGGGAGCCAUUUCUCUCUCUCAGGACAAUGACAAGCAUUGGGAUAGCCAAGGCAGUAGAUUCUCAAUCAAUUGGUGCUCUGUCUACUAGGUGAAGAGUGACAAAUAAAGAAUGUAAAUGACCAACACCAAAGCAGGAUCUGCAAGUCAACUGGCUCAUCUGCAUAUUAUUUGAGGUGUUGUCGGACUGCCUGCGAUGCCAUUCGUCAACUCUUUUCUAGUUGCACUACCUCUUUGGUUAUCUAAGCUUAAGAAUUAAUAUUCAAAUUACAUCUCAGAUGUAGCUGAUGAGAUUGACAUUGCUAUUGUUUCAUAUUAGAUUGUUGCCAAACUGAUUAAUUGUACGUGGAUGUCAAUGCAUUGAAAUCCAUUCUACCAUUGUAUUUGUGAUCAUCUGUGAUGUGUUAUUAGGAUCCUACUAUUCUGAUGGAAGUAAAUAAUAUAAAUGAAUCAGCAAACCCAUUUUAGUUUGCCCUCAA